rnacentral:snoRNA from 1 species
CACACAUGAUGAACCUAUUGACGGGCGGACAGAAAACUCUGUGCUGAUUGUCAAAGUUCUGAUCUG